UUCGAGUGGCGGACGGGUGAGUAACGCGUGGGUAACCUGCCUUACACAGGGGGAUAACACCUGGAAACAGGUGCUAAUACCGCAUAAGCGCACAGGGCCGCAUGGCCCGGUGUGAAAAACUCCGGUGGUGUAAGAUGGAUCCGCGUCUGAUUAGCUUGUUGGCGGGGUAGGGGCCCACCAAGGCGACGAUCAGUAGCCGGCCUGAGAGGGUGGACGGCCACAUUGGGACUGAGACACGGCCCAAACUCCUACGGAAGGCAGCAG
rnacentral:rRNA from 1 species